GGGGUAACGGCCCACCAAGGCAACGAUCAGUAGGGGUUCUGAGAGGAAGGUCCCCCACAUUGGAACUGAGACACGGUCCAAACUCCUACGGGAGGCAGCAGUGAGGAAUAUUGGUCAAUGGACGAGAGUCUGAACCAGCCAAGUAGCGUGCAGGAUGACGGCCCUAUGGGUUGUAAACUGCUUUUAUAAGGGAAUAAAGUGAGUCUCGUGAGACUUUUUGCAUGUACCUUAUGAAUAAGGACCGGCUAAUUCCGUGCCAGCAGCCGCGGUAAUACGGAAGGUCCGGGCGUUAUCCGGAUUUAUUGGGUUUAAAGGGAGCGUAGGCCGGAGAUUAAGCGUGUUGUGAAAUGUAGAUGCUCAACAUCUGCACUGCAGCGCGAACUGGUUUCCUUGAGUACGCAC
rnacentral:rRNA from 1 species